AGAAUCUUCGGCAAUGGACGAAAGUCUGACCGAGCGACGCCGCGUGUAUGAUGAAGGUCUUCGGAUUGUAAAGUACUGUCAAGUUGGAGGAAGUGCAUGGGGGCAAUCCCCUGUGUUUGACCGAUAGCAAAAGGAAGGACGGGCUAAGUUCGUGCCAGCAGCCGCGGUAAUACGAACCGUCCAAACGUUAUUCGGAAUCACUGGGCUUAAAGGGUGCGCAGGCGGUGUAAUAAGUUGGAUGUGAAAUCCUCCGGCUCAACCGGAGAACUGCGUCCAAUACUGUUAUGCUUGAGGGAGAUAGAGGUAAACGGAACUGAUGGUGGAGCGGUGAAAUGCGUUGAUAUCAUCAGGAACACCAGUAGCGAAAGCGGUUUACUGGGUCUCAUCUGACGCUGAGGCACGAAAGCCAGGGUAGCGAACG
rnacentral:rRNA from 1 species